UGUCUCUCUCUCUCUCUCUCUCUCGCCACCGAUCAUCACGAGAGCCACCACCGCCCUCGAAAUCAACGUCAUCCGCCGCUUCUUUUGAUCUCUCUCUUUCUCAAAAGAUGCAUGCGUUGCUUGAUUGCGGAAUUCUGAGAAGUUCCAAUUCAAUCGAUUGAAAAGAAAAAGCUGAUUUUGGGAUCUAUCACCAGCUAUGGAUCGGAAACGUUGAGAUUGAUUUUAACCCAUUUGCA